rnacentral:rRNA from 1 species
UACGUAGGGUGCAAGCGUUGUCCGGAAUUAUUGGGCGUAAAGAGCUCGUAGGCGGUCUGUCGCGUCGGAUGUGAAAACUCGGGGGCUCAACCCCGAGCCUGCAUUCGAUACGGGCAGACUAGAGUUCGGUAGGGGAGACUGGAAUUCCUGGUGUAGCGGUGAAAUGCGCAGAUAUCAGGAGGAACACCGGUGGCGAAGGCGGGUCUCUGGGCCGAUACUGACGCUGAGGAGCGAAAGCGUGGGGAGCGAACAGG